rnacentral:piRNA from 1 species
UAGUGGUAAAAAAUGGCCACCAAAU